GCCUACGACCAUAUCACCCUGAAUGCGCCCGAUCUCGUCUGAUCUCGGAAGCUAAGCAUGGUCGAGCCUGGUUAGUACUUGGAUGGGAGACUGCCUGGGAGUACCAGGUGUUGUAGGCU
rnacentral:rRNA from 1 species